rnacentral:lncRNA from 1 species
AUAUUUAGAAUGCAGGAUGGAGAGGUAAGUACAGCUAAGCGUUAUGACUUCCAUUUCCCACUACUCCAAUUAAAACUUUUUUUUUCCUGAAAGGCAUCACGGUGUGUCUUUUUCAGGCCUGGGAUUCAGCUAGUGUUUUUCAGGACUGUAGAAUUGUUUGCCCUUGAAAUGGAGGCUUAUCAGAUGAAAUUGUACCAAAAGCUGUUUCCCAAUCUUGGGAACCUCCUCUUGAGCGAUAGCGUUAUACAUCAUUGCAUUCCCGAGAGCAUUUUCUUUCCACAUUUGGUUGCUACCGACCUGUCAUUAAGGUUUCAAAAUCGUGCAUCAUAAAAAUGCUGACUGAGUCAAAAGAUUGAAGGUCGUGGGUAUACAGUUUCUUUCUUUUGCAUUCUCAGUCGUUAAAAAUAUGCACUGGGUUGUUUUGCUCCACUUAGAGUUGUUUGGAAUGUGACAGGGAGGACAAUAGACUAUUCAAGAAAUGAUGAAAGAUGAAUGGUUCUUCCUUUCGUAACCAGAACUCACCAAAGCUCACUUUUAAACAAAACAAACGCGUUUGUAGCUAUGAUCCCCACAGCUUUUACUUAAAAUAAGAGCUGUCCUAAUCCUUAUGCAAAAAAAGCACGUAGCAUGUAAUUAUAUGAUGGUGGUGGGAGCUUUUAUUUUUGCUUUUCGAGGCCAUGAUUAGCUCACUAAGCAUUUCAGUCUUCAGACAGCUGUGUCUGUGCUGAAGACAGGUUGACAAUUCACCAUCUACUUUGAGUUCUUUUCAUUUUCCUAUAACAGACUCAGACUUUUCCCUCAAGGCAAAAAUCCGUUGUGCCUUUCAGGCCACACAGGUGUGUUCGGGGUUAUUUGUGUGGACAUUUGGGGCCGUAAGGAUGAUGGGCCUUCUCAGCGGUGUGGACUUCCAGUGAGGCCACAUUCUGCCUUUGGGGCUGUUGCUCAGGCUCUUCCAGGGCUCACAUUUGUCCAAGGACCACACUGAGUCUGUCCCUUACCAUCUCUAAUUGUUUAUAAGUAGCACGCUGGCUGGAGCCACGUGUUUAAAUUAGUCUGAAAUUAAUGCAUCUUUAGAAAACUGGAACUGAGAAUUUCUCCAUGGUGCUGCCAAGCUUUAGAGACCAUGUGAAUUGGGCUCUGUUCAUGUGAGGGUGUGAGCAGGUCUCCUGCCUCAUGCUCAGCUUCCCCAUGAGACUCCUGAGGACAGCAGGGAGGAAGGGAGCCAGGGCCAGUGCCUCAGGUGGCCUCGCAAUUGGCCAGGCGAUGUUUAGGCAAAUGUGCAGGGCACGUGUUUCUGAUUUCAUUGUUUUUUUAUUUUUAUUUUUAUUUUUUUUGAGGCGGAGGCUGCAGUGAGCCGAGAUCGCAUCACUGCCCUCCAGCCUGGGCAACAGAGCGAGACUGUCUCUGGGGAAAAAAAAAAAAA